rnacentral:lncRNA from 1 species
GCACAUUUGAAAUUAGCAGUGACUCAGUAAGCUGCCUUUGUAGUCUCCAGUCAUCAUUCAAGUUGUCUUUCACCUUUAGUUUUGCCUUCAAAAACGAUGUGUCUUGGGAUACAGUUUCUAAUUUCUGGCCCAGAGCCAAUGUUUAUGUUAUUUAGCCAUCAAACUCUUAUGCUAGCUGUGCAGGAAAUCCCAGUGGAUCAAUGAAGAGAAAGAGUGUCAGAAGCAGGCAGUUACUCUGUUGGCGAACGUCUUACCUGACACUUUUUAUAUUACUUUCAUUCCGCUCGCUGACAGAGACCAUGGCGGAUCGGAACAUUCUGCUAUUGGUGUCGAUGGAAGGCAGGAGCGGGACGCGGCUGUCAUUUAGGAUACAAUAGGAGGAAACGUCCAACAAGCACCGUGGAUCAAUAAUAGCACUCCUUUAGCAGGACGGAUACUCGGAGGGGAUGGGGAAAAUCUCUCAGCAUGGGACGUAUCAAAGCCAGGCAUCAGCGCAGUUUGUGGUCUAAAUCUGCAACGAGGUCAUUGAGAAUCUGUUUGACUUUUCAACCAGUCAAACGUUAACUCGGUGGGAAAUGGGGAGGAAAAAAUACUUGUAUAUUACCAUGGAACAAUUGCUUUGAAGUGAAUGUCACAACCCUUUGUUAGGUUUUCUUAUCUAGGCUUUUUAAUAGCAGAGGGAUGAGCUGCUGACAGGAUGUUUUUUUUUUUGUGUGUGUGUGUGUGUUUUUUGGCUAACUUUGCGCUGAAUUUCUUGUAUUUAUAUUUUACUUCUGCACCAUUUAAAAUAAUUUAAUUGGAA